rnacentral:rRNA from 1 species
GAUGAACGCUGGCGGCGUGCCUAAUACAUGCAAGUCGAGCGAACAGACGAGGAGCUUGCUCCUCUGACGUUAGCGGCGGACGGGUGAGUAACACGUGGAUAACCUACCUAUAAGACUGGGAUAACUUCGGGAAACCGGAGCUAAUACUGGAUAAUAUAUUGAACCGCAUGGUUCAAUAGUGAAAGACGGUUUUGCUGUCACUUAUAGAUGGAUCCGCGCCGCAUUAGCUAGUUGGUAAGGUAACGGCUUACCAAGGCAACGAUGCGUAGCCGACCUGAGAGGGUGAUCGGCCACACUGGAACUGAGACACGGUCCAGACUCCUACGGGAGGCAGCAGUAGGGAAUCUUCCGCAAUGGGCGAAAGCUUGACGGAGCAACGCCGCGUGAGUGAUGAAGGUCUUCGGAUCGUAAAACUCCGUUAUUAGGGAAGAACAAAUGUGUAAGUAACUAUGCACGUCUUGACGGUACCUAAUCAGAAAGCCACGGCUAACUACGUG